GAUGAACGCUGGCGGCGUGCCUAAUACAUGCAAGUCGAGCGAGCAGACGAGGAGCUUGCUCCUCUGACGUUAGCGGCGGACGGGUGAGUAACACGUGGAUAACCUACCUAUAAGACUGGGAUAACUUCGGGAAACCGGAGCUAAUACCGGAUAAUAUAUUGAACCGCAUGGUUCAAUAGUGAAAGACGGUUUUGCUGUCACUUAUAGAUGGAUCCGCGCCGCAUUAGCUAGUUGGUAAGGUAACGGCUUACCAAGGCGACGAUGCGUAGCCGACCUGAGAGGGUGAUCGGCCACACUGGAACUGAGACACGGUCCAGACUCCUACGGGAGGCAGCAGUAGGGAAUCUUCCGCAAUGGGCGAAAGCCUGACGGAGCAACGCCGCGUGAGUGAUGGAGGUCUUCGGAUCGUAAAACUCUGUUAUUAGGGAAGAACAAAUGUGUAAGUAACUAUGCACGUCUUGACGGUACCUAAUCAGAAAGCCACGGCUAACUACGUG
rnacentral:rRNA from 1 species